rnacentral:rRNA from 1 species
CCUACGGGUGGCAGCAGUCGAGAAUAAUUCACAAUGGGGGAAACCCUGAUGGUGCGACGCCGCGUGGGGGAAUGAAGGUCUUCGGAUUGUAAACCCCUGUCAUGUGGGAGCAAAUUAAAAAGAUAGUACCACAAGAGGAAGAGACGGCUAACUCUGUGCCAGCAGCCGCGGUAAUACAGCGGUCUCAAGCGUUGUUCGGAAUCACUGGGCGUAAAGCGUGCGUAGGAUGUUUCGUAAGUCGUGUGUGAAAGGCGCGGGCGCAACCCGCGGACGGCACAUGAUACUGGGAGACUAGAGUAAUGGAGGGGGAACCGGAAUUCUCGGUGUAGCAGUGAAAUGCGUAGAUAUCGAGAGGAACACUCGUGGCGAAGGCGGGUUCCUGGACAUUAACUGACGCUGAGGCACGAAGGCCAGGGGAGCGAAAGGGAUUAGAUACCCCUGUAGUC